rnacentral:tRNA from 1 species
GGUAGCAUGGCCGAGCGGUUUAAGGCGCUGGUUUAAGGCACCAGUCAUUUCGAUGGCGUGGGUUCGAAUCCCACUGCUGCCA